rnacentral:rRNA from 1 species
AGAAUCAACGCUGGCGGCGUGCCUAACACAUGCAAGUCGAACGAGAAAGUGGAGCAAUCCAUGAGUAAAGUGGCGCACGGGUGAGUAACACGUGACUAACCUACCCUUGAGUGGGGGAUAACCUAGGGAAACCUGGGCUAAUACCGCAUAAUACCUUCGGGUCAAAGGAGCAAUUCGCUUAAGGAGGGGGUCGCGGCCGAUUAGUUAGUUGGCGGGGUAAUGGCCCACCAAGACUGUGAUCGGUAUCCGGCCUGAGAGGGCGCACGGACACACUGGAACUGAAACACGGUCCAGACUCCUACGGGAGGCAGCAGUGGGGAAUUUUGCGCAAUGGGGGAAACCCUGACGCAGCAACGCCGCGUGGAGGAUGAAGCCCCUUGGGGCGUAAACUCCUUUCGAUCGGGACGAUAAUGACGGUACCGGAAGAAGAAGCCCCGGCUAACUUCGCGCCAGCAGCCGC